UGUCUUGCCCGCCGGAUGCCUGAAGGACGGUCGCGGUUGACCCCACCUUGGUUUGAAUGCAAGCUAAUCCUUCUCCCCCCCUUUCUCCCACGUCUCUCUUUGAUCUAAGAGAUGACCCUGGUCAACGCACCGCGUGAUAUUCCAAGGUGCGACUCCCACCUCGAGUCAAAUCCACCCACGUGUAAGCUAAUUCUUAGCCUAGGACGUUUCCUGUGUCCGCCCACAUUUCCCAUGCAUAUAUAAGUAGAUUAAAUAAAGUCAGACCCUCUCUUUCUCAUUCGAGCUGAGCUAUCGAGUCUGGACUAUAUCACUUAUUCUUUCUCCUAGAGGAAUACCUGGUGCCUCCCUCAGGUGUCUGCCUAUUUAUCGGAUCACUUACCUGCCUAUUUGCCUACUGGCCUAUCUAUGUGUUUAGUGCUAAUCAGCGCUGCACUUGCCUAGUUGCUAUCAAGAAUCACCUAUUGCCUAGUUACUGGAUCAACGAUCCAUUUACCUGCAGUUGUGCUUAGUGCUAUUCAGCGCUGCAUUUGCCUACUGAGAUCUACUCAACUCUACCACUUGGCGCUAUCGGCAUUGCCCGCCUAUUCGACAGCCCACCUGUCAAGCUAUUAGGUGCGACGUCCCUAUAGGUUCAGAUCUGUGUGAGACGUCAUAGCUACGCCAACCCUCUGCAACUCACUGGACAUAUCCUGUCAACUACGCUGCCCACGGCAGAUCAGCUCUGCCCGCAGUAACAUUGUGCCCACGGUAUCCGGCCACCCGCCAUACUGUGCCCACUACAGAUACUAGAACUUGGGACUGAGACUCCACAAGAACUAUAUCGCCGGCGUCCCUCUAUCCGCUAGAGCGCCACCUCCAGCUGCAGAACCUCAAGCCAGGACACAGCCAGCUACGACAUCAACAGGACAACCAGCUAAGUCAGAGGACAAAGUGACAUACUCUCUUAUUGGGUGCUACAGUGAUGAUCAAAAUACCUUACUAAUUAGAGAUAGAUGCAAACCCUCCCCCUUUUAUUCUUAUAUGUAUAUUUAUGUAAAUAAAUAUUCUUUUAUUUUAA